AUUGAACGCUGGCGGCAUGCUUUACACAUGCAAGUCGAACGGUAACAGGCCGCAAGGUGCUGACGAGUGGCGAACGGGUGAGUAAUGCAUCGGAACGUGCCCAGUCGUGGGGGAUAACUACUCGAAAGAGUAGCUAAUACCGCAUACGAUCUAUGGAUGAAAGCGGGGACCGGAAGGCCCCCCCCGGUUUGAGCGGCCGAUGUCAGAUUAGGUAGUUGGUGGGGUAAAGGCUCACCAAGCCAACGAUCUGUAGCUGGUCUGAGAGGACGACCAGCCACACUGGGACUGAGACACGGCCCAGACUCCUACGGGAGGCAGCAGUGGGGAAUUUUGGACAAUGGGCGCAAGCCUGAUCCAGCAAUGCCGCGUGCAGGAAGAAGGCCUUCGGGUUGUAAACUGCUUUUGUACGGAACGAAACGGCUCUGGUUAAUACCCGGGGCUAAUGGCGGUACCGUAAGAAUAAGCACCGGCUAACUACGUG
rnacentral:rRNA from 1 species